rnacentral:misc_RNA from 1 species
GUCAUCUACGAUCAACUAGAUGAUGAGAGGUAUUCAAUAAAUGACGAGGGUUAUUCACACUGGUACAGAGAAAAACUGGAAGAAUCAUCAGCAGCCAUUAUUUUGUGGACUCCCGGAUCUGAUGAAGAUAAUCAAGAUGGUGAAAGGACUUGCAACGAAUUUAACACUGGCGUUACAAUGGCAUUGAAUUCAAAAAUAGAUGACCAUAAAAAAUUAGUGUGCCUUUACCUUGUCAAAUCUCACAAACUAACAGUUCCUCCAGAUAUUCAAAAAGAGGCCCGAGUUUAUUAUUUUCCUGAAAAAUCAUCUCAAUUUUUCACUUUUUUACACGGACAUACACGUUCUCGACCAAAAUACUUUGAUAAUAAUUCUAGAUUUAAAAAGCUAGUUUCAGAACUAGAAGAUGGUAACUUAAUUGAUGGAAAUAGAAAUCAGACAACCCCAGACGAAGUCCCAGAACUCAAAGGAAGACAAGAAACCAUCCCACUUAAAAAUAUAGACGAGGAAAUCUUGGAUUUAAAAAGGAAAGUUUUUUCUACAAAUCUUAGUAAUUCGAGUAAUAGUUCAGCAUCUAAUACAGAAGGCGUCCCUGUUAAUCCGGACUGCCCAAUACAUGGAGAAGUGUUGAAUAACAAGCAUCGACCACAUCCAAAACGUGGUAGACCUUACUUAAGAGACCACAAACAUCCACCCCGUGGUUUUGAUCUGGAAGAAAUAGAACCAUUGCAACCUUGCCACCAUCCACAGGAAUACAAUAAUGUCGUACAUCUUCCGGCUGGAGAUUUCUUUGAUUAUGACUUCACUCCUCAUUUUCCGGGAAAUCGUAUGCCGCAUCCUGUAAGAGAGCAUGUGUUUCAUGAUGAUAUUUAUCAGGAAAACAGUGUACACUAUGAGAGUGAUCUGGACUAUCAGCGUCGUGUUAAUGACAGGCACGUCCACCAUAAUGCCCAUAAUGCAGGAUUUCAUCAACAUCUUGAGUGGAAUCGACCUCCUCAUCAUCCAAGUUACUGUCGCGAUCGUGAAAGGAAUACAAGAGACAGUGAACAUUCUUUUCCAAAUAUGAAUAAUGGUCGUGUCUUGCUAGGGGAAAAUUCUUUUGAUGAAAACUCACAGGAAAUGUCACUGACAAGCAAACAUCCGAAAUUCUAUUUAGAAGAAGAAGAAGCUAACGAUUCUUACAUUAGCUCUCACAGACGUAGAUCAAAUUCUGUUGACAGUUUAACUUCCAACAGCUCCAACAACUCAAAAUACAGCAAAAGAAGUGCGAGUAUUGAUAGCUUUGAACUGAAACAGUCAUUUCAAAAAUUUAUCUAAAGAACAGCAACGGCCGUGAAUUGAACGAUACAAUUAAUCGAUAUGACCGCUAUUCUUUAAAAGUUGUGCGUUGAAUGUACGGAAUCGUAAAAUAUGACCUACUUUUAUGUAUACUUGUUAAAAUUAACCUCUGCUAAAAUGCUUUUUGAUAUGAUACUAUAUUUAAUAACAAAUUUGUUUAUUUAUAAAUGUUAAUUUAAAUUUACCUGCCUUCAAUGUAACUGAUGUUUUAAAAAUUAAAUCUUAACUGAG